GUCCAAACUCAUUACAAUAAAUAGCUAGGUUCUCUUAAAAAUCUGCCCAGUUCCUCUCUAUCUUAUCCAUGGAAUUUCUACUGUGGGUUUUUCAAAUCCAACAAGUCGGACCAAUUUGAUAUGGUUAGGAACAAUUUGAAAUGUAAAAUGAGAUUUUUGAAUUGAGAAAUUAAAUUUGUAUUGAAAUGGAAAUGGUGGAAUGUUGAUUAUAAUUAAGUAUUCUCAAUAACAAUGUUCACUCUCUACCUCACCAAUUUUAAAAAGGGGAUAACUAUUGAAAUACAAGAACAAAGAUAGCAAGAAGAUAAAUGGCUGUAAUCAACCCUCAAGAAAGGAUUUCCGUGCAGAUUUGCUCUGCCCUUCUGAACCAGAGAAACCCUAAUAUUUACAAAGCCUCUUUCCAUUCCCCACUUCUUCUCUUUAUACUAAUUUCCAUCCCUUUUUUGCCAGUUGUCCCUCCAUGCGAUCCAUCCUCCAUGAUUCCUUCCAACGGCCCCUUCAUUUUGUUUGGCAUCCUUUCAGAAUUCUCCUUGCUCAACUCCAUGUACCUAUUAGAAACCCUCAAAUCAAGAUGAAAAUGGUAUUCUUGAUAAAGGGAAAAAAUAAGAGUUAUA
rnacentral:misc_RNA from 1 species